rnacentral:snoRNA from 1 species
GUGCCUUUUGAAGUUUUCGACAGGGCUUUACAAGGCUCACACAGAAGGGCAGUGACCCUCCAGAGAACCCAGAGACAAAGCUGGUAGGACUCCUUGGAUUUUGCCUGAAGUCAUGGCU